rnacentral:rRNA from 2 species
AGUAACUGCGAGUGAAGCGGGAAAAGCUCAAAUUUAAAAUCUGGCAGAUGCUUGUCUGUCCGAGUUGUAACCUAGAGAAGUGUAACCUGUGCUGGACCAUGUACAAGUCUCCUGGAAUGGAGCAUCAUAGAGGGUGAGAAUCCCGUCUUUGACAUGGACUACCAGUGCACUGUGGUUGUGCACUCGACGAGUCGAGUUGUUUGGGAAUGCAGCUCUAAAUGGGUGGUAAAUUCCAUCUAAAGCUAAAUAUUGGCGAGAGACCGAUAGCGAACAAGUACCGUGAGGGAAAGAUGAAAAGAACUUUGGAAAGAGAGUUAAACAGUAUGUGAAAUUGUUGAAAGGGAAACGCUUGAAGUCAGCUGCAUUGGCUGGGGAUCAAGCCAGCUUAUUUGCUGGCUGUACUUCCUGGUUGAUGGGCCAACAUCAGUUUUGACCAUCAGAGAAAGGCAAAGGGAAUGUGGCACCUUUAUAGGUGUGUUAUAGCCCUUGGUUGUAUGUGGUGGUUGGGACUGAGGAUAGCAGCGUGCCACAAGGCCGGGUUUCGACCACGUUCACGCUUUGGAUGUUGGCAUAAUGGCUUUAAGCGACCCGUCUUGAAACACGGACCAAGGAGUCUAACAUGCAUGCAAGUGUUUGGGUGGAAAACUCAAGCGCGUAAUGAAAGUGAAAGUUGAGAUCCCUCUCACAGGGGAGCAUCGACGCCCGGACCAGAACUUUUGGGACGGAUCUGCGGUAGAGCAAGCAUGUUGGGACCCGAAAGAUGGUGAACUAUGCCUGAAUAGGGUGAAGCCAGAGGAAACUCUGGUGGAGGCUCGUAGCGAUUCUGACGUGCAAAUCGAUCGUCGAAUUUGGGUAU